rnacentral:rRNA from 1 species
CCUACGGGAGGCAGCAGUGGGGAAUUUUGGACAAUGGGCGAAAGCCUGAUCCAGCCAUGCCGCGUGAGUGAAGAAGGCCUUCGGGUUGUAAAGCUCUUUUAGUCGGAAAGAAAGAGUUACAGUGAAUAAUUGUGAUUUAUGACGGUACCGACAGAAAAAGCACCGGCUAACUACGUGCCAGCAGCCGCGGUAAUACGUAGGGUGCGAGCGUUAAUCGGAAUUACUGGGCGUAAAGGGUGCGCAGGCAGUCUUGCAAGUCAGAUGUGAAAGCCCCAGGCUUAACCUGGGAAUUGCGUUUGAAACUACAAGGCUAGAGUGCAGCAGAGGGGAGUGGAAUUCCAUGUGUAGCAGUGAAAUGCGUAGAGAUGUGGAAGAACACCAAUGGCGAAGGCAGCUCCCUGGGUUGACACUGACGCUCAUGCACGAAAGCGUGGGGAGCAAACAGGAUUAGAUACCCUGGUAGUCCACGCCCUAAACGAUGUCAACUAGUUGUCGGAUCUAAUUAAGGAUUUGGUAACGUAGCUAACGCGUGAAGUUGACCGCCUGGGGAGUACGGUCGCAAGAUUAAAACUCAAAGGAA